GAAGCACGGUGCUCGGAAGUGUCAGACUGCUGUAUCGGACGACAAAACCAGACACGGAACGUCCGAAGCCAAACUGGUAGGUGUUCUGUGUAGGUAUUGUGUGGCCAAACCAAACGAACGCGGACUCUCCGGCAUCUGCAACUCUUGAGAUUUUGUACUGAGGGUCAAGCGCACCUGCAACGCAUCGAUACGAGCACGGUUUUGGGUUUUUUUGUCUGCCUCGGUGAGUGUGGACCGGUUUAAUUAAGUAUGUCCAAAAGAAAUAGUGUCACUUGUGUGAAGCCAUCAGAUCCUCCGUUCUUGAAGAAGCUUAAGGAGCGCGUCGGCUACAAAGAAGGUCCUUCAAUCGAUACGAAGAGGGAACGCCGUCCUGUGGAUGAUGUAGAUCCUGACCUCGAUGACGAAAAGCCUGUCGUCGUCGUACUCGAGGCGGGCGAUUUGACUGCCGAGGAGGCUGAAAUGGUCAUUCAAAGCCAAGUUUCAGAUGAUGAACCUUCUGAUGGCAAGAUAAUGUUUAAAAAGCCAACAAAAAGGAAAGAUUCCACCUCUCCAACAGACCGGCAAGCCAAGAGACUCAAGGAGGUUGACAAGAGCCGCCGCCAGCAAGCAAAUUCAGUCAGAGACAGCCGCCUUCUGUCUUUUGGUGACGAUGACGACGUGUGCUAAUGAUGCACACAGAUAUACGCUGGCACUCCUUGCAUUCGGCCAGCAUUUUUGGUUUACUAAUCAGUGUAAUCAUGAAGGUUUGUCAUAGACACAAAGGACUUUAGCUGCUGCCUGCUGUUUAUGGGACGUGUGUGUUGAAUGUGCGUCGUGAAUGUGCAGGGCACCGCUCUGUCAUCCCUUGACACAAUUGAAGGGAGGACAUGCACACGUGGUUUCAGUCACUUAAGGCCUUUCAAUGGUUGCAACAUUUGUUGUACCCAACGUCUACAGAUACGAUGCACCAAUGCAGGGAGAUGAAAUGUGCCUUUGGACUCCUGUGCCAUGCUGUACAGUAAAGAGAAACCUUAAGCAAGCUUCUGGCUGGCUAUUCAGUAGUUUUUUUUUUCUCAUUAAAAUCAAAAAUUCUUAUUGGAAUUUUCUGCACACCUACCGACAAUAAUACUACUCAAUAAUGUAUCUGCCAUAUUUAUACUUCACCUUCUAGUCUGUGAAAGUAAACUCCACAGUAAGUUUAAAUACUA
rnacentral:misc_RNA from 1 species